rnacentral:tRNA from 1 species
GGCCUUGUGGUCAAGCGGCUAAGACGGAGCCCUCUCAAGGCUCAAUCCCGGGUUCGAUUCCCGGCAAGGUCACCA